AUGUGGUUCUCUGUGUUGUUCAGGAUUGGAGUCUCCGGCGUCCUCGUGACUCAGCCUGGCUGGUUCCUGUCGGCGCUCCUGAACCUGAGGGUGUGGUUCUGUACCCGGAUCACUGUCCCAGCACCAGUAGCCUGUCUGGACUGUCCUACCGGAUACAUGGUCUGUCUGAGACCAUCGAACAUGAGGAGAGAGCAGAAGAAGCUCAGAGUCCCGUCAGUGGAGCCUCCAUGGGCUACGGCAGCGGAGGAUCCAGUCCAGACCACCGACACCACGAUGUGGAGGCGCUGGGCUCUGACGAUGAAUCCUGUGAUGGUAGCAGUAGCACACGGCCGAUCUGUGAUUCUGGGAGUGUUCCGCAUCAGGACGUCUGGAGGAGAAGCUCUGAGACGCUGACGGACGGCAACAAUGCAGGUAAACUCUCUAGUUUUUCUGCUUCUUUUGUAAGUCACUUUAUAUAAAAGCAUUGGCUGAAUGCAUGAAUGUAAUAAUUUUGAAUAUUUGAUUUGUUCUCAGGGUCUCAGAUGAGAGCUGAAGGAAGCAUCGCAGCAUGCUUGCACAGCCAGAAGUCCUCUAGCAGGUAUUCUCACGAUGAUGGUCUGCUUUACUCCAGCUGCAUGUACUGAUGCAGUAACAUAAUCUUCUGUACAUGCAGGAUAGACUCUGCAUUUCCCCAUCAGUCUGGCAGAUCCAGUGUGGCAGUGAAGCCCACGGUCAGCGGCAUCAGGCCCCUGAUGGAGGACGCAGGUGACCCCGAUCGUCCAGAGCAGUGUCGCGUCCCGCAGAGGAGCCACCCGUACCUGAGCCGCGUCUCCUGCCCCGUCAGCAGGACCUCAGCUGGACUCCAGAAAUCUGCUUCAGCACACAGUCUGAGCAGCCACCGUGAGUGUUUGAUCUGAUGAGGGCUGAUCAGCAAAGGCUCUGGAAUACAUCACACUGAUUGAGCAUUCAUCAUUAGGUCAAGAUUUUUGCUAAAUAAUAAAUUACAUUUUUGGUUUAUUUUUCGCCAAACUCAAUCACAUGCCUCCAGAAUACUCUAACUGUAUGGCACGAGUCACAUGGGAUCAUUUUACCAGAGUUUUGCAUUCUUUUUUAAAAACCUUUUAUUUAAGGCUUUUAAUGCAAAAUAUUGUCAAAAUCUGACAUUGUAAUAUUUUGUUUUUCUGCACUGCAAAAAUGGACAAAAAACAUCCUUAAAUCAAGAGAUGCAAUUACUAGAGAUGCAAUAUGACAUAAGAAGUCUUUCUGAAAAAUAUAUGAAAAUGAAGUGACUUUAUGCUUAUGACAAGAAAAAAUAUCUG
ensembl:lncRNA